rnacentral:lncRNA from 1 species
GCAAUCAGCGAGACUCCGUGGGCAUAGGACCCUCCGAGCCAGGUGCAGGAUAUAAUCUUGUGGUGCGCCGUUUUUUAAGCCUGUCCGAAAAGCGCAAUAUUCGCGUGGGAGUGACCCGAUUUUCCAGGAUGCCCACUGGAUCCAAAGAGAGAAACUCUAUAGAAUUAUGAUCUAGGUUUGACUGACUCCUGGCAAGAAGCCCUACCCGCCAGCCAAUUUGGAUGAGCUCUUAUGCUCCAGAUCCAUCAUGAGAAGAACAUGCCCUGGAUUCCUGCUAUCCCUUUAGCCAUGGCUCCAAAAUUAACACACACAAGGAAGACCUGAGGUCAAUCCACAGCCUGGAUUCAAGUCACCUAAUACAUAGGAGAAUCAGAGCUACCCAGCCACACUCAAUCUACGUUAACUGAACCUCAGCUGACCUGCAGAUUUAUGAGUAUGAGAAUAAAGGCUUGUUAAUG